CGUCAGAUAAGCUAGUCGGAGUGGUAACGGCCCACCACGCCGACUAUCUGUACUUGGUCUGAGAGGAUGACCAGGCACACCGGAACUGAGACACGGUCCAGACUCCUACGGGAGGAAGCAGUGGGGAAUUUUCCGCAAUGGGCGAAAGCCUGACGGAGCAAUACCGCGUGAGGGAGGACGGCUUUUGGGUUGUAAACCCCUUUUAUCAGGGAAGAAUCGAUGACGGUACCUGAUGAAUCAGCAUCGGCUAACUCCGUGCCAGCAGCCGCGGUAAUACGGAGGAUGCAAGCGUUAUCCGGAAUUAUUGGGCGUAAAGCGUCCGUAGGUGGUUUAUCAAGUCUGCUGUCAAAGCGUGCGGCUUAACCGCAUAAGGGCAGUGGAAACUGACCAACUAGAGUGCGAUAGGGGUAACAGGAAUUCCCAGUGUAGCGGUGAUUUGGGUAGAUAUUGGGAAGAACACCAGCGGCGAAAGCGCGUUUACUGGGUCUGCACUGACACUGACGGACGACUGAUUGUAAUU
rnacentral:rRNA from 1 species